rnacentral:misc_RNA from 1 species
UUUCCGUAGGUGAACCUGCGGAAGGAUCAUUACUGAGUUAGGGCCCUCUGGGUCCAACCUCCCAUCCGUGUUUUUUGUACCUUGUUGCUUCGGUGAGCCUGCCUCACGGCCGCCGGGGGCCAUCUGCCCCCGGGCCCGCGCUCUCUGAAGACGCCCUUGAACUCUGUCUGAAGUUUGCAGUCUGAGCGAAAACUAAAUAAGUUAAAACUUUCAACAACGGAUCUCUUGGUUCCG